rnacentral:tRNA from 1 species
GUGGGCGUAGCUCAAUGGUAGAGCACUUGACUGUGGCUCAAGGGGUUGGGGGUUCGAAUCCCCUCGCUCACCCCA